rnacentral:rRNA from 1 species
AGUGAACGCUGGCGGUAGGCCUAACACAUGCAAGUCGAACGGCAGCACAGUAAGAUCUUGCUCUUACGGGUGGCGAGUGGCGGACGGGUGAGGAAUACAUCGGAAUCUACUUUUUCGGGGGGGAUAACGUAGGGAAACUUACGCUAAUACCGCAUACGACCUACGGGUGAAAGCAGUGGAUCUUCGGACCUUGCGCGAAUGAAUGAGCCGAUGUCGGAUUAGCUAGUUGGCGGGGUAAAGGCCCACCAAGGCGACGAUCCGUAGCUGGUCUGAGAGGAUGAUCAGCCACACUGGAACUGAGACACGGUCCAGACUCCUACGGGAGGCAGCAGUGGGGAAUAUUGGACAAUGGGCGCAAGCCUGAUCCAGCCAUACCGCGUGGGUGAAGAAGGCCUUCGGGUUGUAAAGCCCUUUUGUUGGGAAAGAACAGCAGCAGGUUAAUACCCCGCUGUUCUGACGGUACCCAAAGAAUAAGCACCGGCUAACUUCGUG